GCAGCCGCGGUAAUUCCAGCUCCAAUAGCGUAUAUUAAAGUUGUUGCGGUUAAAAAGCUCGUAGUUGGAUCUCGGCGGGCAGGGGGUGGUUCGCUCUUCAGCGCUACUGCCCCGCUUUGCCCGUGUGAUUGGCGGAGGUUUCGGGGUGCUCUUCGUUGAGUGACUCGGAGCGCCGUCAGGUUUACUUUGAAAAAAUUAGAGUGCUCAAAGCAGGCUUUUCACGCUUGAAUAUUCGUGCAUGGAAUAAUGGAAUAGGAACUCGUUUCUAUUUUGUUGGUUUUCGGAAAUCGAGUUAAUGAUUAACAGGGACAAUUGGGGGCAUUAGUAUUCAGACGACAGAGGUGAAAUUCUUGGACCGUCUGAAGACUGACUACUGCGAAAGCAUUUGCCAAGAGUGUUUUCAUUAAUCAAGAACGAAAGUUAGAGGUUCGAAGGCGAUCAGAUACCGCCCUAGUUCUAACCAUAAACGAUGCCAGCUAGCGAUCUGCCGAGUUUUUUUUGUAGGCUCCGCAGGAAGCUUUCGGGAAACCAAAGCUUUUGGGUUCCGGGGGAAGUAUGGUUGCAAAGCUGAAACUUAAAGGAAUUGACGGAAGGGCACCACCAGGAGUGGAGCCUGCGGCUUAAUUUGACUCAACACGGGAAAUCUCACCAGGCCCGGACACUGGAAGGAUUGACAGAUUGAGAGCUCUUUCUCGAUUCGGUGGGUGGUGGUGCAUGGCCGUUCUUAGUUGGUGGAGUGAUUUGUCUGGUUAAUUCCGAUAACGAACGAGACUCUGUCCUGCUAAAUAGUUGGGUCGUCCUUCGUGCGAUCCAAGUUCUUCUUAGAGGGACUGGCUGCGUCUAGCAGCACGAGAUUGAGCAAUAACAGGUCUGUGAUGCCC
rnacentral:rRNA from 1 species